CCUACGGGUGGCAGCAGUGGGGAAUAUUGCACAAUGGGGGAAACCCUGAUGCAGCGACGCCGCGUGAGUGAAGAAGUAUUUCGGUACGUAAAGCUCUAUCAGCAGGGAAGAAAUAAAGUCCUUUGGACUUUGGACGGUACCUGACUAAGAAGCCCCGGCUAACUACGUGCCAGCAGCCGCGGUAAUACGUAGGGGGCAAGCGUUAUCCGGAUUUACUGGGUGUAAAGGGAGCGUAGACGGCAGCGCAAGUCUGGAGUGAAAUCCCAUGGCUUAACCAUGGAACUGCUUUGGAAACUGGCAGUCUCGAGUUGGAGAGAAGUAUGCGGAAUGCGCGGUGUAGCGGUGAAAUGCAUAGAUAUCGCGCAGAACUCCGAUUGCGAAGGCAGCAUGCCGGCUCCACACUGACGCUGAGGCACGAAAGCGUGGGUAUCGAACAGGAUUAGAUACCCUGGUAGUC
rnacentral:rRNA from 1 species